CAACCUGCCCCUGACUCUGGGAUAAGCGGUGGAAACGCCGUCUAAUACCGGAUACGACCCGCCACCUCAUGGUGGAGGGUGGAAAGUUUUUCGGUCAGGGAUGGGCUCGCGGCCUAUCAGCUUGUUGGUGGGGUAACGGCCUACCAAGGCGAUUACGGGUAGCCGGCCUGAGAGGGCGACCGGCCACACUGGGACUGAGACACGGCCCAGACUCCUGCGGGAGGCAGCAGUGGGGAAUAUUGCGCAAUGGGCGAAAGCCUGACGCAGCGACGCCGCGUGGGGGAUGACGGCCUUCGGGUUGUAAACCUCUUUUACCACCAACGCAGGCUUCCAGUUCUCUGGAGGUUGACGGUAGGUGGGGAAUAAGGACCGGCUAACUACGUGCCAGCAGCCGCGGUAAUACGUAGGGUCCGAGCGUUGUCCGGAAUUAUUGGGCGUAAAGAGCUCGUAGGCGGCGUGUCGCGUCUGCUGUGAAAGACCGGGGGCUUAACUCCGGUUCUGCAGUGGAUACGGGCAUGCUAGAGGUAGGUAGGGGGAAGACUGGAAUUCCUGGUGUAGCGGUGAAAUGCGCAGAUAUCAGGAGGAACACCGGUGGGCGAAGGCGGGUCUCUGGGGCCUUACCUGACGCUGAGGAGCGAAAGCAUGGGGGAGCGAACAGGAUUAGAUACCCUGGUAGUCCAUGCCGUAAACGUUGGGCGCUAGGUGUGGGGACUUUCCACGGUUUCCGCGCCGUAGCUAACGCAUUAAGCGCCCCGCCUGGGGAGUACGGCCGCAAGGCUAAAACUCAAAGGAAUUGACGGGGGCCCGCACAAGCGGCGGAGCAUGUUGCUUAAUUCGACGCAACGCGAAGAACCUUACCAAGGUUUGACAUCACCCGUGGACUCGCAGAGAUGUGAGGUCAUUUAGUUGGCGGGUGACAGGUGGUGCAUGGCUGUCGUCAGCUCGUGUCGUGAGAUGUUGGGUUAAGUCCCGCAACGAGCGCAACCCUUGUUCCAUGUUGCCAGCACGUAAUGGUGGGGACUCAUGGGAGACUGCCGGGGUCAACUCGGAGGAAGGUGGGGAUGACGUCAAGUCAUCAUGCCCCUUAUGUCUUGGGCUGCAAACAUGCUACAAUGGCCGGUACAAUGGGCGUGCGAUACCGUAAGGUGGAGCGAAUCCCUAAAAGCCGGUCUCAGUUCGGAUUGGGGUCUGCAACUCGACCCCAUGAAGGUGGAGUCGCUAGUAAUCGCGGAUCAGCAACGCCGCGGUGAAUACGUUCCCGGGCCUUGUACACACCGCCCGUCACGUCAUGAA
rnacentral:rRNA from 1 species